AGGGGUAUUGGUUUUCGGACCAAGAGACCGGCGCACGGGUGCGUAACGCGUAUGCAAUCUACCUUUCACAGAGGGAUAGCCCAGAGAAAUUUGGAUUAAUACCUCAUAGUAUGUAUGAAUGGCAUCAUUUAUACAUUAAAGUCACAACGGUGAAAGAUGAGCAUGCGUCCCAUUAGCUAGUUGGUAUGGUAACGGCAUACCAAGGCGACGAUGGGUAGGGGUCCUGAGAGGGAGAUCCCCCACACUGGUACUGAGGCACGGACCAGACUCCUACGGGAGGCAGCAGUGAGGAAUAUUGGACAAUGGGCGCAAGCCUGAUCCAGCCAUGCCGCGUGCAGGAUGACGGUCCUAUGGAUUGUAAACUGCUUUUGCACAGGAAGAAACAACUCUGCGUGUAGAGUCUUGACGGUACUGUGAGAAUAAGGAUCGGCUAACUCCGUGCCAGCAGCCGCGGUAAUACGGAGGAUCCAAGCGUUAUCCGGAAUCAUUGGGUUUAAAGGGUCCGUAGGCGGUCUUAUAAGUCAGUGGUGAAAUCUCCCCGCUCAACGGGGAAACGGCCAUUGAUACUGUAGGACUUGAAUUAUUAGGAAGUAACUAGAAUAUGUAGUGUAGCGGUGAAAUGCUUAGAGAUUACAUGGAAUACCAAUUGCGAAGGCAGGUUACUACUAAUGGAUUGACGCUGAUGGACGAAAGCGUGGGUAGCGAACAGGAUUAGAUACCCUGGUAGUCCACGCCGUAAACGAUGGAUACUAGCUGUUGGGGGCAACUUCAGUGGCUAAGCGAAAGUGAUAAGUAUCCCACCUGGGGAGUACGU
rnacentral:rRNA from 1 species